rnacentral:rRNA from 1 species
UACAGAGGUCUCAAGCGUUGUUCGGAUUCAUUGGGCGUAAAGGGCGCGUAGGCUGCGGGGCAAAUCGGGUGUGAAAUCUCAGAGCUCAACUCUGAAACUGCACUCGAUACUGCUUUGCUCGAGGACUGGAGAGGAGAUUGGAAUUCACGGUGUAGCAGUGAAAUGCGUAGAUAUCGUGAGGAAGACCAGUGGCGAAGGCGGAUCUCUGGACAGUUCCUGACGCUGAGGCGCGAAGGCCAGGGGAGCAAACGGG